rnacentral:lncRNA from 1 species
AUAUCAAAUCGUUCUUGUGAAUAAAAUUUUAUCCAAGUCACACAAUGAUCGCCCCAACCAUCUUGGUCAUUCUUCAUCUAGGCUCAAUUGACUUUACCUUUUUUUCAAUGGAUAUCAUCACUUCUCAUUUUACCUAUUAUAGUAUGAACGUGUAUCUAUCUGAAAAUUCUCAUUUCUAAUACGUUCAUAAUAUAAAUACUAAAGUUUGUCUUUAACGAUCCAACACUCUAUUGUAAAGUAUAGCUUUGGAGAGUUUUGAAAGAAGUAUUGUUACUUUUCCAUGUGCUUCAACAGUUUGCUUAGGAUACUGAUUUGUGCCAUCAACAAAUCGAAAUAGAUAUUCUCUGUGUUUUCUAUUUGGGUAUUUGAAUUUUUGCAGUUGAUCCAUUUAAAAUUAAAUCAAUUUCCCCUGAAAGCUGCUCUUUUUUUCCUUCUGAGUUACAUAAAUUGUAGGCUUUUGCUAGUGCUAAAAAUAUUAAUCUGCUAAUUGGUAUUGAAUAAACGGAAAAAGAACAAGAUGGGUUCAUGAAAAUAGCCCACAACUAUUCUAAAUUUUUACGAAGUGAGCAGAAAGCAUUUUAGGUGGGUGGAUGGGGGUACGAUUGAUUGGAUAAUUUAAAAUGCAUUGACGGAGUAAGAGAGUUUUGCAGUGGGAUUAAGGACUACUUGACAUUGGUUUUCACACUUGUUAUUUGGGGGAACCUAUUAUCCUUGUCUUCUCAUUUUUUUACAUUUUUAUGCUCAGCUAUCCUUCUUUGCUGCGUUUAUUUUUUUAAAAGAUGCUGAUUGGUUAAGUUUGCACGCAAGUCGAUAAUUCUGAGAUUGCUCUUCAAGUUUGACGUCUAUUCUGGAAAUGUAAGAAUAGAAACUCCUAUUUCGAUGAACCUUACAUAAAAGUGGUUGUAGUUGUUCAAAGUGACUUUUCUAAGCCACUCUAUUUCUUCUGAUAAUUUCACUUGUCCUUCUCUAACAUAAUCUCUUGUUCUUUGAUCCUUGAUGGUUUUUGUGUUUAGCU